CGUGUAGGCGGAAUAAUAAGUCAGUGGUGAAAUCCUGCAGCUUAACUGUAGAACUGCCAUUGAUACUGUUAUUCUUGAAUAUAGUUGAAGUAGGCGGAAUGUGUAAUGUAGCGGUGAAAUGCAUAGAUAUUACACAGAACACCGAUUGCGUAGGCAGCUUACUAAGCUAUUAUUGACGCUGAGGCACGAAAGCGUGGGGAUCGAACAGGAUUAGAUACCCUGGUAGUCC
rnacentral:rRNA from 1 species